rnacentral:rRNA from 1 species
UGCAGUCGACGAUGAAGCCCUUCGGGGUGGAUUAGUGGCGAACGGGUGAGUAACACGUGGGCAAUCUGCCCUUCACUCUGGGACAAGCCCUGGAAACGGGGUCUAAUACCGGAUAACACUCCUGCCUGCAUGGGCGGGGGUUAAAAGCUCCGGCGGUGAAGGAUGAGCCCGCGGCCUAUCAGCUUGUUGGUGGGGUAAUGGCCCACCAAGGCGACGACGGGUAGCCGGCCUGAGAGGGCGACCGGCCACACUGGGACUGAGACACGGCCCAGACUCCUACGGGAGGCAGCAGUGGGGAAUAUUGCACAAUGGGCGAAAGCCUGAUGCAGCGACGCCGCGUGAGGGAUGACGGCCUUCGGGUUGUAAACCUCUUUCAGCAGGGAAGAAGCGAAAGUGACGGUACCUGCAGAAGAAGCGCCGGCUAACUACGUGCCAGCAGCCGCGGUAAUACGUAGGGCGCAAGCGUUGUCCGGAAUUAUUGGGCGUAAAGAGCUCGUAGGCGGCUUGUCACGUCGGAUGUGAAAGCCCGAGGCUUAACCUCGGGUCUGCAUUCGAUACGGGCUAGCUAGAGUGUGGUAGGGGAGAUCGGAAUUCCUGGUGUAGCGGUGAAAUGCGCAGAUAUCAGGAGGAACACCGGUGGCGAAGGCGGAUCUCUGGGCCAUUACUGACGCUGAGGAGCGAAAGCGUGGGGAGCGAACAGGAUUAGAUACCCU